GCAUUCUGAAUUGAAGCAGGUUGAAUGCAUGCUAAAGUAGAAAAUAUAAAAAGGAAUCAGAGUUUCAUAAUACCCAAAGUACUGAUAAUAUUGAAUAUUACUUGUCAUGUCAGAAAACAGAAAAAGUCAACCAGAAUGAGAACAGGCAAUCAACAGAUGCCAAUACCAAGAUGGUACUGAUGUUGGGAUUGUCUGGCAAGGAUUUUUAAAGCAGCUAUCAUUAAAAAACAAACAAAAACACUUUUAACAAGAAACUAUGAACACUCAAAAAACAAAGGUUCAAUAAAUAAAAGAUACAAAGAAACCCCAGCCGGGUGCGAUGGAAGUUUUAGAACUUAAAAAUAUAUAUAUAUACA
rnacentral:lncRNA from 1 species